UACGUAGGAUGCAAGCGUUGGCCGGAAUUCUUGGGCGUAAAGAGCGCGCAGGCGGUAUGACAAGUCAGAUGUGAAAGAGGCCGGCUUAACCGGCAAGGGUCAUUUGAAACUGUCAGACUAGAGUGCAGCAGAGGAUAGUGGAAUUUCCGGUGGAGCGGUGAAAUGCGUAGAGAUCGGAAAGAACACCAACGGCGAAAGCACUCUGCUGGGCCGACACUGACACUGAGAGACGAAAGCUAGGGGAGCGAAUGGG
rnacentral:rRNA from 1 species